CAGCCGCCGCGGUAAUACCGGCGGCCCGAGUGGCGGCUACUAUUAUUGGGCCUAAAGCGUCCGUAGCCGGGCUGGGAAGUCCUCCGGGAAAUCUGGUCGCUUAAAGAUCAGACUUCCGGAGGAUACUGCUGGCCUAGGGACCGGGGGAGGCCGAGGGUAUUCCCGGGGUAGGGGUGAAAUCCUGUAAUCCCGGGAGGACCACCUGUGGCGAAGGCGCUCGGCUGGAACGGGUCCGACGGUGAGGGACGAAGGCCAGGGGAGCGAACCGGAUUAGAUACCCGGGUAGUCCUGGCUGUAAACGAUGCGGACUUUGUGUCGGACAAGCUAUGAGCUUGUCCGGUGCCGGAGGGAAACCGUUAAGUCCGCCGCCUGGGGAGUACGGCCGCAAGGCUGAAACUUAAAGGAAUUGGCGGG
rnacentral:rRNA from 1 species